CGCUGGCGGCGUGCUUAACACAUGCAAGUCGAGCGAUGAAACUACUUCGGUAGUGAAUUAGCGGCGAACGGGUGAGGAACACGUGAGGAAUCUGCCUUCUACACUGGGAUAACUCCGGGAAACCGGGGCUAAUACCGGAUAUGAAACUUGGUGGCAUCACCGAGUUUGGAAAGUUUUUCGGUACAGGAUGGGCAUGCGUCCCAUUAGCUAGAUGGUAAGGUAACGGCUUACCAUGGCAACGAUGGGUAGGGGUCCUGAGAGGGAGAUCCCCCACACUGGUACUGAGACACGGACCAGACUCCUACGGGAGGCAGCAGUGAGGAAUAUUGGUCAAUGGGCGCAAGCCUGAACCAGCCAUGCCGCGUGCAGGAAGACGGUCCUAUGGAUUGUAAACUGCUUUUAUACAGGAAGAAACCCUCCCACGUGUGGGAGCUUGACGGUACUGUAGGAAUAAGGAUCGGCUAACUCCGUG
rnacentral:rRNA from 1 species